GCAGCCUGAUGCAGCCAUGCCGCGUGUGUGAAGAAGGCCUUCGGGUUGUAAAGCACUUUCAGUCAGGAGGAAAGGUUAGUAGUUAAUAGCUACUAGCUGUGACGUUACUGACAGAAGAAGCACCGGCUAACUCCGUGCCAGCAGCCGCGGUAAUACGGAGGGUGCGAGCGUUAAUCGGAAUUACUGGGCGUAAAGCGUACGCAGGCGGUUUGUUAAGCGAGAUGUGAAAGCCCCGGGCUCAACCUGGGAACUGCAUUUCGAACUGGCAGACUAGAGUGUGAUAGAGGGUGGUAGAAUUUCAGGUGUAGCGGUGAAAUGCGUAGAGAUCUGAAGGAAUACCGAUGGCGAAGGCAGCCACCUGGGUCAACACUGACGCUCAUGUACGAAAGCGUGGGGAGCAAACGGGAUUAGAUACCCCGGUAGUCCACGCCGUAAACGAUGUCUACUAGAAGCUGGGGUCUUCGGACAACUUUUUCAAAGCUAACGCAUUAAGUAGACCGCCUGGGGAGUACGGCCGCAAGGUUAAAACUCA
rnacentral:rRNA from 1 species